GCAAACUGGUGCAUUUGCAUACUCUGCUUUAGUGUAUAGUUAUUUAUUCGAGGAUUCAGUUUAGGAAUUUGUGGUGCGAGCAUUUAGCAUUGGAUGUAGUUUCGUUUUAUCUUUACGACAGGCCAGUUUACUUUAGGGUUAGACAAAAACACAAUAGUCUGCUAUCGGAGGAUUCACGGAUACCUCGGUCAUAUUGCUCGUUGACAGUCUAACAAUCUGGACAAGCUAAUGGUUGUAGGCAAGAUAGAAGGAAAAACACCACGCGGACGAUCACCUAGUCGAUGGUCGGACUAAGUAACCGCCGUUACGGGACUGUCUGUUGCAGUCGCCAGUGGCUGAAGACCGUGCGAAAUGGAGUAACAUUAUAAGAGACGCAACAGACACCUUUCAAGGACACAACCUUCAGUAAUGAAGUGGACGAAGUGAGAGAACUUAUAGCUGGACUAGGUAUAAUGUACACUACAAGAUGUGUAUUUUGCACCGUAAAAAACAGCAACAUCAAUCGCAAGAAACGUAUGAAAGAAUGAAAGACAUACAUUUAUUAUUCCAUU